rnacentral:rRNA from 1 species
CAGCAGCCGCCGCGGGAAUACGGAGGGCGCGAGCGUUACCCGGAUUUACUGGGCGUAAAGGGCGUGUAGGCGGCCUGGGGCGUCCCAUGUGAAAGGCCACGGCUCAACCGUGGAGGAGCGUGGGAUACGCUCAGGCUAGAGGGUGGGAGAGGGUGGUGGAAUUCCCGGAGUAGCGGUGAAAUGCGCAGAUACCGGGAGGAACGCCGAUGGCGAAGGCAGCCACCUGGUCCACUUCUGACGCUGAGGCGCGAAAGCGUGGGGAGCAAACCGGAUUAGAUACCCGUGUAGUCCCUGUCUCUUAUAC